CAAAUUGCUGAACGACGCCAGACUGAGCUGCAAGGUGCGUGUUUGAAUGAUGAAGAAGACCUCAGUACCGCUUUUCAUAGCUUCACUGAAGGAAUGAGGAAGAAACUGAAGCUUUGCCACAGGAGGGCGGAACAGUCGUCCUGGCGAACCCUGCGAUCCAGCGAGGAGCAGUUUUCUACACUGAUGACUCGGAUACGCACCUGCAGGAUGCAGAAAUUGCGAGCAUUUGAGGUGAUGAUGACCAAGGAACUGAAGAACCUUGAGGAGGACCUGCACACACUGAACAACA